AUUGAACGCUGGCGGCAUGCCUUACACAUGCAAGUCGAACGGCAGCACGGACUUCGGUCUGGUGGCGAGUGGCGAACGGGUGAGUAAUGUAUCGGAACGUACCUUUCAGUGGGGGAUAACGUAGCGAAAGUUACGCUAAUACCGCAUAUUCUGUGAGCAGGAAAGCAGGGGAUCGAAAGACCUUGCGCUGAUUGAGCGGCCGAUAUCAGAUUAGCUAGUUGGUGGGGUAUAGGCCUACCAAGGCGACGAUCUGUAGCGGGUCUGAGAGGAUGAUCCGCCACACUGGAACUGAGACACGGUCCAGACUCCUACGGGAGGCAGCAGUGGGGAAUUUUGGACAAUGGGGGCAACCCUGAUCCAGCCAUGCCGCGUGAGUGAAGAAGGCCUUCGGGUUGUAAAGCUCUUUCGGCCGGGAAGAAAUCCCAUAGGCUAAUACCCUGUGUGGAUGACGGUACCGGAAGAAGAAGCACCGGCUAACUACGUG
rnacentral:rRNA from 1 species